GGGCGUAUGGUCUAGUGGUACGACGUCUCAGUUGCAAAAAAAUGUUUGAGGUCCUUGAAGCUGUUAGAAGUAGACACAGCUUGAUAGGGUUCGAAUGUUGCAAUGCUCCUUGAGAAGGUCCCAGGUUCGAACCCUGGUACGUCCA